rnacentral:rRNA from 1 species
UGCAAGUCGAACGGUAGCAGGAUGUGCUUGCACAUCGCUGACGAGUGGCGGACGGGUGAGUAAUGCUUGGGAACUUGCCUUUGCGAGGGGGAUAACAGUUGGAAACGACUGCUAAUACCGCAUAAUGUCUUCGGACCAAACGGGGCUUAGGCUCCGGCGCAGAGAGAGGCCCAAGUGAGAUUAGCUAGUUGGUGGGGUAAAGGCUCACCAAGGCAACGAUCUCUAGCUGUUCUGAGAGGAAGAUCAGCCACACUGGGACUGAGACACGGCCCAGACUCCUACGGGAGGCAGCAGUGGGGAAUAUUGCACAAUGGGGGAAACCCUGAUGCAGCCAUGCCGCGUGUGUGAAGAAGGCCUUCGGGUUGUAAAGCACUUUCAGUUGUGAGGAAAAGUUAGUAGUUAAUACCUGCUAGCCGUGACGUUAACAACAGAAGAAGCACCGGCUAACUCCGUGCCAGCAGCCGCGGUAAUACGGAGGGUGCGAGCGUUAAUCGGAAUUACUGGGCGUAAAGCGCACGCAGGCGGUUUGUUAAGCUAGAUGUGAAAGCCCCGGGCUCAACCUGGGAUGGUCAUUUAGAACUGGCAGACUAGAGUCUUGGAGAGGGGAGUGGAAUUCCAGGUGUAGCGGUGAAAUGCGUAGAUAUCUGGAGGAACAUCAGUGGCGAAGGCGACUCCCUGGCCAAAGACUGACGCUCAUGUGCGAAAGUGUGGGUAGCGAACAGGAUUAGAUACCCUGGUAGUCCACACCGUAAACGCUGUCUACUAGCUGUUUGUGACUUUAAGUCGUGAGUAGCGAAGCUAACGCGAUAAGUAGA